GGCCUAUAGGGCUGGAGGCGGCCUGGCUCUGGUAUCGGGUCGCAUGGAUAAGGAAAUGCCGCCGCAGAAGCUGCGUUUACUGUCGGUGAGCGUACAGGACGGACUUCGUUCGGCAGUGAAAGUGCCGUCGCUCGCUCAUUGCCUGGAAGAACUGCUGCUGAACAGCCUGGCAGCCGGCUGCGGUUGCGCGGCGGCUCGCGUUAACGCAGAUAUCGGGCGCGUGCAGGUGGCAGAUAAUGGCGAGGGGCUGGAGCGCGCGGCCCUGGUGCUGGCGGGAGCGCGCUACCACAGUAGCCGCGCCUUUGGGUCUGGGGAAAGCCCCGGGGACCGGCAGGGUGGUGUUCCCUGGAAUAUACAGCAGGACUGUCCCUGGGAUGGGCAGGGAGGGGGUUCCAGGGGUGGAGAGGAAGAAAAUCCCAGGUGUGGACAGGGAGAGGAACUCGGGGGUGGAGAGGAUCCUGGUGAAGGAUUGGAAGAGCAGCCUGAAGUGGGGCCUGGGUGUCGUGGUGAGGCACUGGCCAGCAUUGCACACUUGUCGGGUUUGCUAGAAAUAGUGAGUAGGCCACGAGGUGGUGGCAGCCAGACAUGGGUCAAGUUGUUCCGCAAUGGACAGGCCCAGCGGGUGUACAAGGCUGAGGUAGCCAGGCCCAGCCCCGGCACCACUGUCACUGUAUGCAAUCUCUUUUACCGACUGCCAGUGAGGCGACGUCGUAUGAUCCGAACCCUGGAGUGGGAGCAGAUCCGGCUCAGAGUUCAAGCCCUGAGUCUUCUGCACCCCGGAGUCUCCUUCACCUUGCGGAAUGAAGCUUCUUCCACAGCUGGAGGCUCACUUGUAGUCAGGCUGCCGAAAGCAAGCAGCUUGCCGGCUCGCUUUGCUCAGAUCUACGGUACACAGAAGGCAGCAGCUCUUGGCUCUGUUCAGCAUUCAAAUGAUUGUUUCCAUAUGAGUGGUUUCAUUAGCCGACAGGGCCACCAUACCAAGGCACAGCGGCUGGUGUUUGUCAAUGGGCGACUGGUGCUAAAAACCCGUAUACAUGUGCAGCUGGAUCUGCUGAUCAGGCGACGCAGCCUGAUAUGUAGGUCAGGGUGCUCUACUGGAUCCCGUGGAAGCCCUGAUCUCCACCCUGUUUAUAUCAUCAAUGUCAGGUGUGACCAUAGGCAGUACGAUGCCUGCUGGGAGACUGGUCGUACCUUGCUGGAGUUCAGCUCCUGGGACUUGCUGCUGAACUGCUUGGAGGAGGGAGUCCAUGCCUUCCUGCUACAGGAGAAACUUCUACUGGAGCCUUUAGAGGAACAGGAAAAUCCCCAGUCACCUCUUCUCAGCUCAAAACCUGUGUUUUCACAUGAAAUGGCUGCAGUCCAGUCCAAAUCUGUGCAUAGGCAGGCAGUACUACCUGAAACCUCUGGGGAAAAUGCUGUGUAUCAGAGGCUUGCAACAAUUGAGAAGGUUGGGGUGUUGGGUGCUGAGGAUGAAGAACCAGCCUCGGAACAUUCAGGCAUUGCCCUAUACUCUACUGAAGCUCCAAAAUCCAUUUUAGACAUUACUGGUCAGCGGACAACUGCCUGCAACAAGUCACUGUGGAAAGAGACAGGAGACAGUAGUUUCCUCAGCAACCUGAGUACAUCAGAUAGCCCUGAGACACAGCCAACAAAGCUGUUGCAGCCCAGUAUAGAGAAGGUGCUCACAAGAGGAGAUGGAAUUUAUCAGCUUGCUGUUGCUUAUGAGAGUGAGAGCUCAUCAGGUACCGGGGUCUCACCUCUAGAGGAGGUAAAGACAACAGAAGGGGAGGUUAAUGGACUGCAGACAGGGCGAAAGGAGCUCUCAGGAAAACAGACACACAAGGAGAGUCAGGGAGUGGAAUUUGGUGUCACAGGUCUUAUAACCCAUGUGAUCCCUAUGAAAAUGAAAGGUUCUGACCUUGAACAUGGAAACUGUACAGAGAGGGGACGUACCUUUCACUUAGGCCCAGUCAGUGCCUGGGAUAUUAGUGAGAGAUUGAAAAGGGGAUGUACUUGGUUUACAGCUGGGGGCAAUAUGCACUUGAGUGCAACUAGGGAAUGUAGGAAGGCCAAACCCCGAAGAUCCAUCAGGCUUUGUCAGAAAGUUAAGAGUACUUCCCAGUAUCAUAAUCCGUCUGGGAAGCGCACUGAAUCAGUGAUGACACCUAGGAAGAUUAUGUCACUGAAAGAUCAUAUUAAUUCCAAAUGCAGAAAAGUUGCCAAUUGUGAACCUAUCUCCUGUCAAGCUAGAUUCUGCAGGAAGCUAAGUAUGCCUCUGAUAACUGCUUCACUGGAUGCAUUUAGAAGAGAAUACGCGAGGGCCAGUGGUCAGGAUGGAGGCAACUCUUCCCAAUAUAUUGAGGUUACUCGACAUGACGAUGGUAGUCCAUCCAUGAAAUCCACACCAGAGAAUGCCACGGUAAUUAAAGAAACAGACAAUUUGAACCAGAAUGUAGGUAUGAGAUGCACAGAUUUUGGAGCUAAUGUUCACAGUGAGAGUUUACUGCACAACCAGUCUGUUGGCUUCCAAAGGAAUUUGCAUACUUGUGGCUCUAGGUCAAUAGCUGGACACAUAUCCCAAGUGCAGCCCAGUCUUAUUGCACAAGCUACUUAUUCACAAGACAAAAAAAUCACCCCUGUUUCUAAGGGGCUUCCAAGAACUUUGGCUGCAAAAUUGUCCAGAUUAAGAUACCUUGGACAAGAAGAGAAGAGUUGGGAGUCCAAUUCAAGGAGGUUUGCAGACUGUAUUUCACCUUGCCAGAGCCUAGAGAGGCUUCCAGAGCUGGAACAUGCAUCUCCACACUGUUUAUCUCCAGAAUCACAGCUCUCAGGAGUUGAAGCAAACUCUGACAACUAUGCGGGAGUUGUUGGAGAGGGAAGUUGUGCAGGUGCUAAAAAUAUAUACAACCUUGCUAUGAUUAAUGAAAAGGCUAAUACUGAGAAGUUGUCUAGUGCUACAGCUGAGGAAAGGGAAAUUGAUGGAACAGUUUCACAGCCCAAGCUGCACCCUGGAGACCAACCCCAAACUGAUGAAACAACUGAAGAGCACUUAAGCCAACAGGAUGAUACUGUGGCCAGCAGUAAGGAAUCUGACCUUUCAUGGAUUCCUACAAUACCAGGAGCUGCUGAAGCAGAUGUUUGUGUGGGCACCUGUGAAGGUGUCAAUACGUUGAAAUGUUUUCCUUCACAAUGGCUGCAGUAUUUUGAUGGAUCUCUGGGGAAGACAGUGUAUGUAAACAGUGUGACUGGAGUGAGUAGUUAUGAACUUCCACCAGAGUCUCAGACACAUGCUGCCUGCACGAAAGACUUCACAACUAUGGCAGUUAACGUCCUCAUGAAGACUGGUGUCACAUACAGAUGCUACCCGUUCCGCAGUGAAAACCUGAUCCCAUUCUUGCCUCCGUCACGAGAAGAAAGGCAGGAAGACAAAGUUGAUGAAGAGCUCGGUGAUGGAAGAGAUGCUCAGCUGGGGUCAAGUGGGUCACUGCGUUCUUUAUUCUUGAAGUGGAAGAAUCCAGUCUUUUUCCGGCCCCCAGAGGUUGCUGUUGAUGUUAGCAGUGAGCAAGCUGACAAUUUGGCAGUGAAGAUUCACAAUGUAUUGUAUCCCUACCGUUUUACAAAGGACAUGAUCAGUUCAAUGCAGGUCCUUAAUCAGGUGGACAACAAGUACAUUGCAUGCUUGAUAAAUACGAGCCUUGACCAAGGGACAACAAUAGGCAAUAACCUGCUGGUGCUGGUGGAUCAGCAUGCUGCACACGAGAGAGUGCGUCUAGAACAGCUCAUUUCAGGUAGCUUUGAGACAGUGCCGGGGACUUCGAGCCAAAGGAGGCUGUGCACCUCUACAGUAUGUCCACCAAUUGAGAUAGGCUGCACCCAGCACGAGACUGCACUUCUGCGGGUGUAUUGGAAGCAGUUAGAGGCUGCUGGUGUACAGGUGGAGUUCAGAGAUAAGGGAGGUUCGGAGGUUCUGAUCAGGAAGGUGCCAGCGUGUUUCAUAGAGAGAGAAGCAACUGAGAUUCGAAGAGGACGACAGCCUGUAACUCAAGCCAUUCUCCAGGUCAUCCUUCCCCAAGAAGAGGCCCCAGUGAUCGAGGAACCCGAAGCUCUGGUAGAUAACGUAGCACAGGAGUUUCUCAGAGAACAGAUUGAGGUGCUUCAGUCGACGGGAGGAUUCCAGGGUGUGUUGUCACGUACUGUGCUAAAGGUGCUCUCUUCGCAGGCCUGUCAUGGAGCAGUGAAGUUUGGGGAUACACUGAGUGUGGACGAGUGUAGGAGCCUCAUCGACUCGCUGGCCAGCUGCCACCUGCCGUUCCAGUGUGCUCACGGACGACCCUCCAUGCACCCUCUGGCAGAUCUGGAUCAUCUGAAUAUUGACCAAGAGGUUCGCAACAGACCUAAUUUACAGAAGCUGAAGAUGCUGAAGGAAAUGUGGACGAGCAAAGAGGUUUUGUGAUUGAGAAACCUGUACAUGCCCUGUGUUCUUUCAGUGGAACUGCCCCAUUAUGAAAUGGACAAAAUCCCAUUGUAAUCCUCUGGUCUGCAAUGACAUUAACCUGACCACUUGGCCAGCUGUGUUCUUUGUACUGACUGUCCAUCAAAGAUGCAUGAGCAAACCCAAGGAGCUGAAUAUUGACUUCAGGAGGAGGAAACUGGAGAUCCAUGAGCCAGCAACCUUAAAUUCCUCAGUGUUAUCAUUUCAGAGGACCUGUCGUGGGCCCAGCACAUCAGUGCAAUUAAGGAAGCAUGGAAGCAUCCUUACUUCCUUAGAGUUAGGAACUUUAUUUGGUCUCUUUCACUCGCCUGCGAACACAUUUACCUUACAAUGUCUAACAAGAGUUCUAAAUCCGGGAAAAAGGAAGCUACGGCUCUCCCAACGGAGACCCUCGGUGUUCUGGAACAACAUCGGGAUGAUAUUUUAAAGGAAUUUAGAACUGCUUUCAACCAGCUGGACGCCAAACUGGAUCAGAUCAACACUAGAGUGGACGAACAUGCUGAACACUUAUCUCGCAUCGAUUCGACUUCUGAAGAUUUAAAAAGUCAUGUUCGAUACUUGGAGACUCUCUGUUCCAGCCUAGAGGAAAAGUAUAACAAACUCUUUUCCAAAAUGGUGGAUCUUGAAAACCGGAGCAGACGUUGCAAUCUACGAAUUCUUGGUUUGCCAGAGGCCACCGAAUAGGGAUCACCUGUGAAGUUCUUCUCUGAGUUCCUUUGUGAGAUGUUUGGAAAAGAUUUGCUUCCUAAUCUGCCUGAGCUGGAAAGGGCACACAGGGUCUAUGCUCCCCCCGCAAUUCUGGGCUCCCGCCCACGACCGGUAAUUUUGUGCUUUCAUCAAUACCAGGUAAAAAACCAUUUGAUUAUGGAGGCAUGUCGCAGAGGUACUUUUGCUUUUCAAAAUACAGUCAUUCGCCUUGUGGAGGAUUUUGCCCCCCAGGUUUUAAAGAUGCGUGCUGAGUUUAAAGGUGUAAUGAAAGUGCUUUUUGAUCGUGGUUUUAGACCCUCUCUUUGCAAUCCUGCCGAUUUACGAAUUACGCUUACUACUGGAAAAUAUAAGUGGUUUCAGUCAGUGAAGGAGGCUGAGGCAUUUGUUGGAAGUCUUCCGGCUAUCCAGCCAUCUUGGGAACCCGAUCGGACCUCCUAAAAUGGUGGAUAAGUACCUCCUGUAGUAAAAUUACUUUUUCCGGUCUCAGACCUUACUUGAAUCACUCAGACAUUAUUUAUUGAAACUCUAAGAGCUGUUGACAAUCUCUCCCUGGAUUUGGUGUGUCUUUUUUUUAAAUAGACAUUCUGUGCUUAAUGUUUCCCUGUGGAUGUUUAAAUUGUACUUGUGUAAUCUAUUUUAUUCUUGUAUAACUUUAUAGAGUUCUACACUUGACUCUAACUUGUUUUGGAGGUUUGAAGUCUUUAUUGAAGGCCUCCCUGUUGGUUGAUUCAGUUUAACUUCUGAUUAUUUUUUUUUCACUUUUUUUUAUUUUUGAUUUUUUUUCUCUCUGUAAAUGGUUGAUAAGUAUUCUCCUUGAAUCUACAAUUUUCCCCUUCCUCCCUUUUUUUCCCUUUCUCUUCCUUUAACCUUCUAUAAUUUUUCACGGGUAGGUUAGUUUUGGUUUUCUUCUGAUUUUCUUUGCAUUAAGUUUUAUAUUUCUGCAGAAGAUGUUCCAAUUUGUAGUUAUGUUUUCUAGUGCAUAAACUAGGUUACCAUUUGCUAUAGUAUUUAUAUGGAACUGCUGUUAAUGACACAGAUCUGGAAGUUAUAUUUGGGUUAAUUUUUUUGGUAGAGCUAGCUGCUUUUUUUGGUAGCCAUCUAGUUUUGGGUUGCGUGGAUGGGGUGGGUUUUCCAGUUCUAACAUCACUCACUGUAUUUAUUGUUUUCCUUUGUUGCUCAGGACAUGUUUAUGUUUUGAUUUUACAAAUCUAUAUUUACAUUUCUGCUCCCAGACUGUUAUUGUAUUGCUUGACUUUUUAUAUGCCUACUGCCUUUUAUGCAUUAAUAAUUGAUAAUGGCUAGUGCACUUAAAUUCGUGAGCUUGAAUGUAAAGGGAUUGAAUCACCCUGUUAAAAGGAGAAAGGUAUUCUCACAUAUUAAACAACUCAAAGCUGAUUUCCUUCAAGAAACCCAUAUUUGUUGUUUUGAUAACUCCCGGCUUCUGUCAAAGUGGGCGGGUCAGCAUUUUCAUUCAUCCUUUGCUGCUAAAGCUGGGGGGGGGGGUCUCCAUCCUUAUUAACUCAAAUAUUCCUUAUGAACUCCAUAAUAAACUAUCUGAUACAAAUGGCCGUUUUAUUAUUGUUUCUGGUAAACUAUAUAACACUAAAGUUGUACUAGCAAACCUGUAUGCCCCCAACUUUGAUGAUGUUAACUUUUUUGAACGUUUUUUUUCCUCACUACCA